UACAGAGGGUGCAAGCGUUAAUCGGAAUUACUGGGCGUAAAGCGCACGUAGGUGGCUUGAUAAGUUGGGUGUGAAAUCCCCGGGCUUAACCUGGGAAUUGCAUUCAAGACUGUCUUGCUAGAGUGUGGAAGAGGGAAGCGGAAUUCCAGGUGUAGCGGUGAAAUGCGUAGAUAUCUGGAGGAACAUCAGUGGCGAAGGCGGCUUCCUGGUCCAACACUGACGCUGAGGUGCGAAAGCGUGGGGAGCAAACAGG
rnacentral:rRNA from 1 species